rnacentral:lncRNA from 1 species
UGAACUCACUGCGUACUUUGAUUUCUUGAUGGCUGACUAUGAGUACUGAAAACUCCAACCCGGCAGCGUGUAGUGCUGUGUGCCUCUCCUUAUAGAGUUAAACUCAGCCAGGCCUGCCCGAGAGAAACCCUAAACUGGCGCCACAUUCCUGCUGGAACUCUGUCACAGUCUCAGCUCAAACUGGCCUCCAGAUGGACAAGGUGAAGAGACAGAGGUCAUACCCAUGAGGAAGAGGCUCUUGGCAGACAUGGAAUCUACUGUCACCUUAUUCUUGGAUUCUUAAGCCUCGUAAACACUGAGUGAGUCCAGCUGGACCUGUCAAUCACCUCGCCUGGAGACUACCCCUCAGGAAAACUGAUUCACCUGAAGAUGUUACAGAGAUGGGGGAAAUAAUUAUUCUCUUAAUGAGAUAACAUGUGUGUACCUCCCUGAGAAGUCCCUCCCUCAGUCCAGCUGUUUGCAGAUCUUUCCUACUAAGACAGCCUGCUUUCCCCAGUUCUAACUCCAAAACUGUAACUUCUCCUUUCCCCUUGUCUCAUCUUUGGCUAAAGGCCAAAACCUCCUCCUGCUUCCAACCUCUGUACACUCUCUUUCUUUAACCCCCUCCAAGCCCCAGUUACUUGGCGCCCUUCCUUGCAGAACCUGCCAACUCUCCUGAAACCUACCUCGGAAGGCAUGUCAUGCUCUCCUCUCCAGCUCCCCUUUCCAGGCAGCAGUUGAGGUUUGUAGCUUCCUGACCUUGUGGUUUACUCCUGAGCGCCAAUAAAAGAGUCCACAAGAGAAGGGGCUGUUUUUCAGCCUGCCUCUCCUUGGGAUGCAGUAUGAACACUUGCUCACAGGAGCUGCCUAAUGCUGACAUUCUCAGGCUGCAGAGCAGAAGGCAUCAUGGGAAGCUGAAGCAGGCAUCACUCAGUGUGCUCCCUUCUCAGCUGCUUCCAGGUACUCUCUCCAGACCUCCCAAAGUCCAGGGAAUAUAUGAACAAUUCUACGCACUGGCUGAAACAGACACAUACCAACGGCAGCUUUGUCAAAAGAGUAGACACUGCAACUGACUGAGUGACGAGUGCAACAGAAUAGCUGUCUUCCAACCAACCAAAGGCCAGAACACACGUGGGUGGGCGGCCCUGCAAACCUGCCACUUCUGCAGUGAACCUUUGCAAUGGUCAAGAUGUUCUGGCUCAGCAAGGACUCGGAACAACCAGGAGGUUUGGAGAGCCACUCCAUGGAUCAGAGUACAAAUGUGGAGCAGAGGGAUACUGACCAGAGGGUACAGAUGGAGAUGAAGGACUGACCCUGAGAAGACAAUAAUUACUAGUUUUGUUUACUGUUAGCCCCCUCACCAGUCACCUGGGGCAGCAGUUUUUAUUAAAACCGCUGUAUUAAUAAAAUCAGAAAUGCUGGUUGGGAG